UACGAAGGGGGCUAGCGUUGCUCGGAAUCACUGGGCGUAAAGGGUGCGUAGGCGGGUCUUUAAGUCAGGGGUGAAAUCCCGAGGCUCAACCUCGGAACUGCCUUUGAUACUGGGGAUCUCGAGUCCGGGAGAGGUGAGUGGAACUGCGAGUGUAGAGGUGAAAUUCGUAGAUAUUCGCAAGAACACCAGUGGCGAAGGCGGCUCACUGGCCCGGUACUGACGCUGAGGCGCGAAAGCGUGGGGAGCAAACAGG
rnacentral:rRNA from 1 species